UACGUAGGGGGCAAGCGUUAUCCGGAUUUACUGGGUGUAAAGGGAGCGUAGACGGCACUGCAAGUCUGGAGUGAAAGCCCGUGGCCCAACCACGGGACUGCUCUGGAAACUGUGUUGCUGGAGUGCAGGAGGGGUAAGCGGAAUUCCUAGUGUAGCGGUGAAAUGCGUAGAUAUUAGGAGGAGCACCGGUGGCGAAGGCGGCUUACUGGACUGUAACUGACGUUGAGGCUCGAAGGCGUGGGGAGCAAACAGG
rnacentral:rRNA from 1 species